CGAGGCUGCACCACCCUUAUCAGGUUCCAGUUCUCGGUGCGCCCCGUUCUGCAAGACACUCUCCUGUGGUCAGCCCUGGUCUGCAGAGGAUUCCCGCGCUGGAUCUCUGAAGGAUGCUGGCGCCCUCUCUGCAGCACAUUCCUGAUGCCCUUGCUGACACGUGUCCUCUGGGCCCUCUCCUGAAACCUGAUUCUCCGGGGUGUCUUCUGGCCUCACCUCUUCUGUCCAGUUCCAACCCAGCACACCCUGCCUGCAUGGCGCUGCGCUGCACCUUCACUCUGGUCACGGGUCUGGCAGUCAGCUCACCAAUUCCUCCUGCUUCCCUGGGACUUGCCGGCUUUUAGCACUGCAAUUCACUCAGCAAACUGGGACUGUUGGUCACCCUACCUGGCAGCCAGUGAUAAGGGCUGGUGUCAUUGGCAUGACAGACCUGCCUUGGCUGAGCGUUCACCUGUCUUUGGAGUUCAGCCACCUUAGCAAGUCCUGGGUUUGUUCUUCAGACUUUGCUGCUCGCCCAUUGCCUGGAUCGGGGGCUACUUUGUAAACCACCAGGAAGACUCCAGUGUUUCUGGUUAAUUUUUAGAUGUUUGUUAAUUGCUCUUGGUCUCUCAUUAAUCCCCUGUGGGUCAUCCAGGAAACAUACUCACCACUGUCUGUUCUCUGAGUUUUCAUUUCCAGGCAUCCGCCCUGCCUGGAUCUCCUCACCUGCCAGGAACUUCCUCUCCACAAGCCGGCCAUCCCAGCAAAAGUUCUAACACCAAAGGUCUGGCAACUAGCCUGCCAUCUUGUGCCUGGAGCCGCCUGCGUGCCACCUACUCCCGAAGAUGGGAACCUUGUUGCCAGUUGGGCAGAUGCGGGGCAAUCCUGUACCAAGACCCCAUUUUACCACCUGCUUUCUCAGACCACUCUGGAACCCACUGUCUCAGAUUGUGUCCUCCAGGAAGCAGACCAUGAGAGGGAGUUGGCAGGGCCAAAGAUUUACUGGGGCUAACUAACACUCAGGAAAGGGAUAGGAAGGAAACAGGGCUGGAGAGCAGGUUGAGCCCGACCUGACAGUCUCGAGCAGCCCAACAGGGAGGUGUGGAGCAAGGGUUGCCCACUAGAGGGGCCUGCAUUGGGUACGGGUGAUGGGGUCCACAUGGUACCUGGCAUAUAGCAGGCUGUGCAAUCCAUAUUAACUGACUGGAUAAAUUAAUGCCCAGAAAAGGUGCCCUGGAGAAUGGGUGUGUGCUGAACACAAUAGGGAAGGGCCCAGCAUCUGCCUUGGCAUAGGCAGAACUGUGCUGUGCCCUGCAACAGGCCACCUGAGAGCUGCUUUGAUCUUGUGUGUACAUUAGAUGACUGCCAGGGGCAUGAAGGGGAUGUGCUUCCAGGGCAUUUGCUGGCAGGGCGUCUCGUGAUCUCUUGGUAUUGGUGUGAGCACAGCCUGGCAGGAGAGGGCAGAUCUCCAUGCAAAGUAUGUCAGAAAGCAGAUGGAAGCCAGGCCCCCUCCUGAAAG
rnacentral:lncRNA from 10 species